UCUAGGGUUUACCUUUCUCUCGUAACAUUCAAUUUUCAAGAAAUUUCAUUUUCAUUUGUAUUUUUUGUAUUUGGGUUGAUCUAUUACUAUAGAUCUGGAACAAGCGUAGCCCUUAAGAUCCCCUUCCGUAUUUUCCAUGGAAGCGUGUCGAGUCAUUGCUGCGCUACAUUAACAUCUUUUGAGGUUUCUCAUUAGGGUUUUCCUUAUGAGUCCUCAUCAAUCCUAACUUGUUUUUCUUUUCAUGAAGUAAAUGGGUUUAUGCCCAAUUUGUCCUUUUUAGAUUUUUGAACAAAUGGGAACUCAAUUUAUUGGGUUAGGUUAUUUAUCAAUACCUCUAUUUCAAGUGGGAAAUAUUUGCUUAUUGAAAAAGAAUUCUUUUUUGGUCAAUUUUUUUUAUGGGUUUUCAUGUUUUGGUUGUUAUAGUUAAAUUGCUUGUUUUUUUGUUAAAUUUGAUUUGGGUAAGA